rnacentral:sRNA from 1 species
ACACAGCCAAGAUCUUUAUUUAGCUGCCCCGAAAUCCCACAGACCUGGACAGAGCUCCCGCACUGGUGUCCUUGCUGUGGAAGAGGACAAAAGCUCGUGAGCAGGCUUUGCCCCGGGAAGACAGCCA